rnacentral:rRNA from 1 species
UACGGAAGGCAGCAGUGGGGAAUAUUGCACAAUGGGCGAAAGCCUGAUGCAGCUAUGCCGCGUGUAUGAAGAAGGCCUUAGGGUUGUAAAGUACUUUCAUCGGGGAGGAAAAAACAAAACUAAUAAUUUUAUUUCUUGACGUUACCCGAAAAAGAAGCACCGGCUAACUCCGUGCCAGCAGCCGCGGUAAUACGGAGGGUGCUAGCGUUAAUCAGAAUUACUGGGCGUAAAGAGCACGUAGGUGGUUUUUUUAAGUCAGAUGUGAAAUCCCUGGGCUUAACCUAGGAACUGCAUUUUGAAACUGAAAUACUAGAGUAUCGUAGAGGGAGGUAGAAUUCUAGGUGUAGCGGUGAAAUGCGUAGAUAUCUGGAGGAAUACCUGUGGCGAAAGCGGCCUCCUAAACGAAUACUGACACUGAGGUGCGAAAGC